UUACAGAAGUUCAAUGUUUGCUCUGAGAAGUUUAAUGAACAAAUAAAUUAAAUGAUAAAGUUGUAUCCUUGAAAGAUAUGCUGGUAUUAUUGGCACAAUGGGCAAGCAUUAAAGUGCAACUUGGUGAACUACAAAACACAUCAAAUUCAGUUAUAAAAAUUUGAGUAACAAAGGUAUGCUAAUUAUUGUAUUGCCUGAAAGAGUGUCAUUGCCAUUAAAAGCAGCAAAGAAUUCAAGUACUCUGGAAGAAAAAAGACAAGAAAAUACUUUAGUAAAUGGUCAAUUAUUUGGCACAAAUUGGAGUUAAAGGCAAAGUAGAUUGUAUAUGUUAUUUACUAAGAAUUGUUUUUUAAAAUGGCCUAGCUGUAAAAUUAAACUAUACAGGGAGAGGACAAAAAAUUGGAAUAGGAAAAAUGUUGAUUGCAUAUGUUGCUAUUGAAACUGCGAAAUCAAAUAAGCAUGGCUUAUGCAGACAUGUGAUAGAGAUAGCGGAA